UGAGGAAUAUUGGUCAAUGGACGGAAGUCUGAACCAGCCAAGUAGCGUGCAGGAUGACGGCCCUAUGGGUUGUAAACUGCUUUUGUAUGGGGAUAAAGUUAGGGACGUGUCCCUAUUUGCAGGUACCAUACGAAUAAGGACCGGCUAAUUCCGUGCCAGCAGCCGCGGUAAUACGGAAGGUCCAGGCGUUAUCCGGAUUUAUUGGGUUUAAAGGGAGCGUAGGCUGGAGAUUAAGUGUGUUGUGAAAUGUAGACGCUCAACGUCUGAAUUGCAGCGCAUACUGGUUUCCUUGAGUACGCACAACGUUGGCGGAAUUCGUCGUGUAGCGGUGAAAUGCUUAGAUAUGACGAAGAACUCCGAUUGCGAAGGCAGCUGACGGGAGCGCAACUGACGCUUAAGCUCGAAGGUGCGGGUAUCAAACAGGAUUAGAUACCCUGGUAGUCCGUACAGUAAACGAUGGAUGCCCGCUGUUGGUACCUGGUAUCAGCGGCUAAGCGAAAGCAUUAAGCAUCCCACCUGGGGAGUACGCCGGCAACGGUG
rnacentral:rRNA from 1 species